rnacentral:lncRNA from 1 species
GGAAAGAAAGAAUGCUGCAGAAGAGAGCAGCUGGGUGCCUCAGCAAGAGAAGACUGAGCACACCAUGGUGGAUUUUCCUUAGGAGCAUCUAUGGACCUUACAGUGGGAGCUGAAUGCAGCAAUAGAAAACUGAUGUGUAUGCUUUGAAGACUAAAGCAAAGACGAAAGGUGCUGCCCAUUUAACCCUAAAAUUUUGAGAGGAAGCAACAAAACAUAAAAGAUCUCUGGAUCUCCAAUCUACUACUCUGUAAAUUAAUG